CCUACGGGAGGCAGCAGUCGAGAAUCAUUCACAAUGGGGGAAACCCUGAUGGUGCGACGCCGCGUGGGGGAAUGAAGGUCUUCGGAUUGUAAACCCCUGUCAUGUGGGAGCAAAUUAAAAAGAUAGUACCACAAGAGGAAGAGACGGCUAACUCUGUGCCAGCAGCCGCGGUAAUACAGAGGUCUCAAGCGUUGUUCGGAAUCACUGGGCGUAAAGCGUGCGUAGGCUGUUUCGUAAGUCGUGUGUGAAAGGCGCGGGCUCAACCCGCGGACGGCACAUGAUACUGCGAGACUAGAGUAAUGGAGGGGGAACCGGAAUUCUCGGUGUAGCAGUGAAAUGCGGAGAUAUCGAGAGGAACACUCGUGGCGAAGGCGGGUUCCUGGACAUUAACUGACGCUGAGGCACGAAGGCCAGGGGAGCGAAAGGGAUUAGAUACCCCAGUAGCC
rnacentral:rRNA from 1 species